CUCAGUUGGUAGAGCAGUUGACUUUUAAUCAAUUGGUCGCAGGUUCGAAUCCUGCACGACCCACCAAUUUCAGCAUUUAACUCAGAUGCUGAACGUGAAGGAUAACGUUGCGUCAGCAACGGCCCGAAGGGCGAGGCAAAGCCGAGUCAUCCUGCACGACCUACCA
rnacentral:sRNA from 1 species